UGUGUGCAUGUCAUGUGGGAUAAGCCCACAG
rnacentral:sRNA from 1 species